GCCCGGGUGGUGGAAUAGGUAGACACAAGAGACUUAAAAUCUCUCGGCCUCACGGCCGUGCCGGUUCAAUUCCGGCCCCGGGUACCA
rnacentral:tRNA from 2 species